rnacentral:tRNA from 1 species
GGAGUUGUGGCUCAGCAGUAGAGCGCUAGCCUCUCACGUGUAAGACCUGGGUUCGAUCCUCAGCACCACUU